rnacentral:lncRNA from 12 species
GUUUGUGACUAUAGAACAUCUCUGAUCCUCUUACGGUUACUCAUAGUCUGAAAACAAGAAGUACAACACAGAGAGUUAGACCCUGAGCAGCUUUAGCGAGAAAAAAAAAAAAGUUAAACAGUAAGGACUGUGCUGUGUUUCUCUUGCACAGGGCAAUCUUGAUUAUAACUCUCUGUGGAUUUGGAAGUUACUCAUCUGAGUAAAGGGGAGAAAUUUAUCAGCCUCCUUUGGCCACAGCUGGGCAGGUGAUAGAACAAGCUGGCAGCUGGAAACAUGAGCAAAGGGAGCCAGAGAGUUUCCUGCCAGGCCAACAGAGAGAAGGAAGGAGACAGAAAGAAAAUGGUAACAGAAGCUUUUUCUAACGCCAGAAAUGUAAGAGUGCCUUUGUUAUAAAACACAAGCACUGAUUUCCUGUUUCCAUAACUUAUGAUCGGAAUCAGAUUUGCUGAACAUAGCCAAGAUUCAGCUUGCAGAUAUGUUUCCUUGGCCUGCACAGUGUUUUCCACAAGCCAAAUUGAAAUGCAUAUGUGAGGAGAGAAAGAAAUCACUGUCCUGGGAGGUUACUGUGUGAAGUCAUCCAAGUCAUUUCUCUGCUUCCUAGAAGUAUGGGAAAGCUGUAACUCAUAGCAGGUAUCUCAUCCAGGAAUUUAGAAGCAGAAGUCAGGGAAACUAUGUAUGCAGAGUCAAGACAAUAAAUUGCCUCUUUCAGGACCUGAAAGUGUCCCUUGAAAUUGGAUGCAGCUACAAGGUAAAGAACAUGAUCUCUAUAAAACUUGAAAAAUAUAUGUACAGUUCCAUGUUGUGCAUAUUGACUACAAAACAUACUAUGUUACUAAUGUUUAAUAUUAAAAAUAGUCACCAAUUUAAAAAUUAAUUAAUGAUUUGCAAAUAAAUAUUUUCUGUUUUAAGAAA